rnacentral:tRNA from 1 species
CUCACUAUAGUUUAUUAAAAACAUCGACCUGCAAAAUCGAAAAAGGAGUAUGUCUUCCUAGUGUGU